UACGUAGGGGGCAAGCGUUAUCCGGAAUUAUUGGGCGUAAAGAGUACGUAGGUGGCAACCUAAGCGCAGGGUUUAAGGCAAUGGCUCAACCAUUGUUCGCCCUGCGAACUGGGAUGCUUGAGUGCAGGAGAGGAAAGCGGAACUCCUAGUGUAGCGGUGAAAUGCGUAGAUAUUAGGAGGAACACCAGUGGCGAAGGCGGCUUUCUGGACUGUAAUUGACACUGAGGUACGAAAGCGUGGGGAGCAAACAGG
rnacentral:rRNA from 1 species